CCUACGGGCGGCAGCAGUGAGGAAUAUUGGUCAAUGGACGAGAGUCUGAACCAGCCAAGUAGCGUGAAGGAUGACUGCCCUAUGGGUUGUAAACUUCUUUUAUCUGGGAAUAAAAUGUUCCACGUGUGGGAUUUUGUAUGUACCAUAUGAAUAAGGAUCGGAUAACUCCGUUCCAGCAGCCGCGGUAAUACGGAGGACACGAGCGUUAUCCGGAUUUAUUGGGUUUAAAGGGAGCGUAGGUGGAUUGUUAAGUCAGUUGUGAAAGUUUGCGGCUCAACCGUAAAAUUGCAGUUGAAACUGGCAGUCUUGAGUACAGUAGAGGUGGGCGGAAUUCGUGGUGUAGCGGUGAAAUGCUUAGAUAUCACGAAGAACUCCGAUUGCGAAGGCAGUUCACUGGACUGCAACUGACACUGAGGCUCGAAAGUGUGGGUAUCAAACAGGAUUAGAUACCCUAGUAGUC
rnacentral:rRNA from 1 species